CUUAGGCGGUCGGCUGAACUUCAAAUAAAUUUUGCCCCGAUGAAGAUGAUAAAGUGGAUGGCGACCAUUGAAGCCAGAGUUCUUAAAUUCACUUGGCGGAUUGCGAGGACGGCUCCUUCCAACCGAACAUUCUUUGGACGUUUGGCCAUUUGGCUUUAUUGCGCGUUCAAAGAGAAGGGGAUUUCGAAUUCGCUCAAAUGUUGAACGGUACAGAACAAAGCAACGGUGUUGAAUGAAGCAUCCACUAGGUAUUAUCGCAACGCAGCAGCAAGUACUAGUACCUACGCGGUUUUAUAACAAAGCUUUAGCGCAUUUAUUAAACAACAAAUUAGUUGUACACAAUUCGAACGCUAAAUAAAAUCAAUGCGAAAUGCCAACCGGA